CGCACUCGCCAUCCAUAUCGUGGUCGCGCUUCAAGCAGCACCACCACCCUCACGCCUCCGCCCAGUGCCAUUGCCCCCAUCCUUUCAUCCACACCACGCCGUCCAGCUCGCACCCCAAUCGCAUCAGCGCCCACACCACAGCCUAGUGCCGUCGCCCUUGCAUCCCCCAUCCACCCCGACGUCUUCGCAUCCCCCAUCCACGCAUACAUCUUCGCAUCCCCCAUCGACGACGCCUCUGGAACCUGGAGGUCUGGACCGACAAGUGCAAAGUGAGCGGGGACGACGGCAAACUACCCCUCCCAUCAAUCCAGGUGAUCAGGUCAGGAAAGAUAUGCGGCGUCCAGACCUUCACAUCCUUUCUUUCCUUCCUCAUGGAGGAUGGGCUGAAGCGUCGACUUUCUAGGUGGGAGAGAACAAGGGUGUGAUGUGAACCCAACUCAACACUGCCGCUCGCGGGUGAAGCAGGAGGUACAGGCGGAACCCUAGCCGAUGGAGCCUGCCAUGAUUCGUGACGAGGCGGCCAUAGUUAGAUCCGUUCUGAUUGAUUCUAUCUUUUUUUUCCUUCCAAUCCGUCACAGGCCAUUGGUUCUGGUGUAUUUGUUUGGGGAAUCCUAAGGACUAAAGUAGAUUUGCAAAUCUUCUCCAUACCAUCAGGUGCUUUUAGAUCUCAGUUGAGGUAUUCGAAUCCUAAAGCUCACGAUUUGCAAUGUUUGCUGCGAGAUCAUCUCCAAAGUUGACGCGCAGACGAGCGGCACCAGGGAAAAAUUCAACAGCAAGGCGGAGAUCUGCGCUGCCAUGGUCAACGAGAUGGGAGACCACACUGCUCAUCAUAGCUGAGAAAGGGUUCAUCAACAUUGUCACCGAGUUGCUCAAGCACUCUCACAAGGAGAGCCUUGCGAGGAAGAAUAAAUCAGGAUUCUGAGCUCUGCGUGUCACUGCAAAGGAAGGCCACGGAGGUGAGCAUUGACAAACACUUCAAUACUAAACCAGUUCUGAUGGGUCAUAUUUUUACAUGGGAACAAGGGAGCUUUGGAUAUUGUGUCUAGACUAGAAUCUCAUCGUUUGAAUGAAGAAAGGGGUUUAUGGAUUUCUAAAUUAAUUGAUCGCCAUGGUUUUGUGGGUCUUUGAUCAAUCUCCAUGGAUCCAAUUGUAUUUGUUUUGCAGUGCUGAAAUUUACCUACUCUUUAUGAUAACUGCAGUGUGCCAUUGCCUACACAAGCUAAUGAGCAAGAAAAUUGGACGUCUGACACUGCUUGUAAAUAUUGUGAAGGUACUCCUGGACCAUGAUCGAUCCCUUGGGAAAACGUUUGGCCAAUCAAAAUAUGACUCCUUUGAUAACUGCGGCGAUUAGAGGCCACUACGAUGUAGCGAACCUUAUACUGGAGUGAGAUUCUGGAUUAGUUGAACUAUCAAAGGCAAAUGGAACAACAAUUGAACAUAACCUUUAUUUUCCUGGUACAGGGAAUCUCCAGGAACGACAAGAUAUGUAUUUACAUCACAAAAACAUCAUUAGCUUUUGCAAAAAUAUGAUCUUGGUUUAAUUAUUUAUUAUCACCAUCCCAAUUUACAUUGCAGUUGUAUACACACUUCUGAAAGUAAGGUUGCAUGGUACAUUUUUGUAGGAUCGUAUUUUGUAACCGUAACUUAUCACAAUAACAGUUCAAAGUUAAUUGUUUAGCUCAACUUUUCUAUUA